CGGAUUGAGGCCCGCUGGCUUGGGCGCUUAGCUGUUAAUUAAGUUUUUGUAGGAUCGAGACCUGCCGGUCCAG
rnacentral:tRNA from 1 species